UACGUAGGGUGCAAGCGUUAAUCGGAAUUACUGGGCGUAAAGCGUGCGCAGGCGGUUGUGCAAGACAGAUGUGAAAUCCCCGGGCUCAACCUGGGAAUUGCAUUUGUGACUGCAUGGCUAGAGUGUGUCAGAGGGGGGUAGAAUUCCACGUGUAGCAGUGAAAUGCGUAGAGAUGUGGAGGAAUACCGAUGGCGAAGGCAGCCCCCUGGGAUAACACUGACGCUCAUGCACGAAAGCGUGGGGAGCAAACAGG
rnacentral:rRNA from 1 species